rnacentral:ncRNA from 1 species
UCCAAGAUUAAAUGUUGUUAAAUAUAUACAGAAGAUAUUAAAAGGGAAGAUGAAGAUGUAUCAUUGCACAUGAAUAACUUCCAUUAAUUUAUCUAUCUAUCCAUCUAUCUACCGAUCGAUCUAUCUAUCGAUUUAUCUAUCUAUCGAUCUAUCUAUCUAUCUAUCAAGUGUUUGUCUUAUUAAUUUUCAAUGAUAGUUUAUAUGUCUACCAUGGUUGUAAUGGAUAACGGUGAAUAAGGAGUAUAAUUUCGGAAAGGAAACCUAAAAAACAGUUACCGUAUCCAAGGAAGGUAGCAAGUAUCGCAAAUUAUCCAUUCUCAAAAAUGAGAAGAUAGUGAUGA